rnacentral:snRNA from 1 species
GGAUGUGAGGGUGAUCUGGCUGAGACAUCUGCCACCCUGUUGAUCGCCAGGGUUGAUUCAGCUGAUCUGGCUGGCUAGGCGGGUGUCCACUUCCUCCCUCACCACUCCAUGUGCGUCUUUCCCAAAGCUGCAUGCUGGGUCGAAGAGGAUGACCACCCCUGAUAGAGGAGGACCAUUUCCUUGGUCAAAGGUAUAUGAGCAGCUUUGCUCCCCUGCUAGAACCUCCAAACAAGCUCUCAAAGAAGAAUAACAUAAGACUGACUGGAGUCAAUG